AUGCUACCACUACCCGUCCACCUGUCCUUCAUGCGCGGCCACUACUGGGCGGGCAUGAAGGCCAACUGGAUUGUCCUCAUCCACCAAUCCGGUAGUCCGUGGCGUCUCGUGGAUAUCUACACCCAGCGAGAGAUCACCCUUCCAUCGUUGGAUACCACCGCCACCGAGCCUCGCGGCCUGCCGGACACUCUUGCCUACUACGCACGAGACGCAGUUGAUAGGAGAACAGUAGAUUGGCCGGUGCUGCCGGCUGGCGUCAAGUUCGAUCCCACGGAUCAGGAGCUGAUCGAGCACCUUGAGGCCAAAGUGAGUGCUGACAGCGCGAGAUCUCACCCUCUCAUCGAUUUUUUCAUACCAACCAUCGACAAUGAGCACGGCAUAUGCUACCCCCAUCCUGAGAAACUUCCAGACCUAGUGAAGCAACGCAAUUCCAGGGCGUUCAAAAGGGGCACAUGGACGCGUCGCAAGAUACAGUCGGAGUACGACAUGCACGCGAUGUGGCACAAGACUGGCAAUACAUUGCCGGUGAUGGUCAAUGGCCGGCAGACGGGCAGCAAAAAGGUUCUCGUGCUACACACCAACAAGAACUUCGACCAUUCCCGCAAAAAAAACUUCGACCAGGAGAGGACCAACUGGGUGAUGCACCAGUACCACCAUAGGGACCUGGAGCAAGAGAAGGAGCGGGAGAUGGUCCUCUGCAAGAUUUUCUACCAAACGAACACUAGGGCCAGGACUAAAAAGAUUAUAAGUUAG
rnacentral:rRNA from 1 species